UACGUAGGGUGCAAGCGUUGUCCGGAAUUAUUGGGCGUAAAGAGCUCGUAGGCGGUUUGUCGCGUUGUUCGUGAAAACUCACAGCUCAACUGUGGGCGUGCGGGCGAUACGGGCAGACUAGAGUACUGCAGGGGAGACUGGAAUUCCUGGUGUAGCGGUGGAAUGCGCAGAUAUCAGGAGGAACACCGGUGGCGAAGGCGGGUCUCUGGGCAGUAACUGACGCUGAGGAGCGAAAGCGUGGGGAGCGAACAGG
rnacentral:rRNA from 1 species